CCUACGGGAGGCAGCAGUGGGGAAUAUUGCGCAAUGGGCGAAAGCCUGACGCAGCGACGCCGCGUGAGGGAUGAAGGUCUUCGGAUCGUAAACCUCUGUCAGCAGGGAAGAACGGUCACUGUGCUAAUCAGCAGUGAAUUGACGGUACCUGCAAAGGAAGCACCGGCUAACUCCGUGCCAGCAGCCGCGGUAAUACGGAGGGUGCGAGCGUUAAUCGGAAUUACUGGGCGUAAAGCGCUCGUAGGCGGUAUGUCAAGUCAAGGGUGAAAUCCCCGCGCUCAACGUGGGAACUGCCUUUGAAACUGGCAAACUGGAGUGUGUGAGAGGAUAGUGGAAUACCAGGUGUAGGAGUGAAAGCCGUAGAUAUCUGGAGGAACAUCAGUGGCGAAGGCGACUAUCUGGCACAUAACUGACGCUGAGGGGCGAAAGCGUGGGUAGCAAACAGGAUUAGAUACCCGAGAAGUC
rnacentral:rRNA from 1 species